GACUGGACGCGGCGGCACUGUGUGCGAGCGUAUAUACAUAUGUAUAUGCAUUGGUGUAUAUGUGUCUGUGUGUUUUAAAUGCUUUGAGUGGCACAACGUUGAUGUUGGCGCACUGUGCACUGCCUUGUUAAGUUGUCGAGUGUCGAGUGCCUCUUCGUCGCGCAUAGGUCAGUCAGUCAAACGCGGAGUCGGAGCGCUUUAAGACGUUGCAAAUCGUAGCGUUGCAACCACAUUGCCACGCAUCGUCAUCGUAGCUUUCGUCAGCGCCGUCAGUGGUGACGGUGUCGUCGCGUCAGUGCCGCUACAUACUCCGGUUCGUACGUAGUGUCGUUUAAGCAAACUCGCGUUUCGUCGGUUGGGCAGUCGAUGUGAUAAAAUUGACAAUG
rnacentral:lncRNA from 1 species